rnacentral:rRNA from 1 species
AACGAACGUUAGCGGCGCGCCUAACACAUGCAAGUCGAACGCGACAGGGGCAACUCUGUUGAGUGGCGCACGGGUGAGUAACACGUAGGUAAUCUCCCCUCGAGUGGAGGAUAACCUUCCGAAAGGAGGGCUAAUACAGCAUAAGACCACGGCCUCGAAAGAGGCUGAGGUCAAAGCGGAGGAUCGCAAGACUUCGCGCUUGAGGAUGAGCCUGCGGCCCAUCAGGUAGUUGGCGGGGUAAUAGCCCACCAAGCCUAAGACGGGUAGCUGGUCUGAGAGGAUGAGCAGCCACACUGGAACUGAGACACGGUCCAGACUCCUACGGGAGGCAGCAGUGGGGAAUCUUGCGCAAUGGACGAAAGUCUGACGCAGCGACGCCGCGUGGGUGAUGAAGGCCUUCGGGUUGUAAAGCCCUGUGGGGAGGGACGAAUAAGUUGCAGCUAAUACCUGCAGCGAUGACGGUACCUCCUUAGCAAGCACCGGCUAACUCUGUGCCAGCCGCCGCGGUAAUAC